CAAAAGCGUAUAUUAAAGUUGUUGCAGUUAAAAAGCUCGUAGUUGAACCUUGGGCUUGGCUGGCCGGUCCAUCUUUUUUGAUGCGUACUGGACCCAGCCGAGCCUUUCCUUCUGGCUAGCCUUUUGGCGAACCAGGACUUUUACUUUGAAAAAAUUAGAGUGUUCAAAGCAGGCCUUUGCUCGAAUAUAUUAGCAUGGAAUAAUAGAGUAGGACGUUAUGGUUCUAUUUUGUUGGUUUCUAGGACCAUCGUAAUGAUUAAUAGGGACGGUCGGGGGUAUCAGUAUUCAGUUGUCAGAGGUGAAAUUCUUGGAUUUACUGAAGACUAACUACUGCGAAAGCAUUUACCAAGGACGUUUUCAUUAA
rnacentral:rRNA from 1 species